rnacentral:rRNA from 1 species
UACGUAGGGGGCAAGCGUUGUCCGGAUUUAUUGGGCGUAAAGAGCGUGUAGGCGGUUAGGUAGGUCCGUUGUGAAAACUCGAGGCUCAACCUCGAGACGCCGAUGGAAACCAUCUGACUAGAGUCCGGAAGAGGAGAGUGGAAUUCCUGGUGUAGCGGUGAAAUGCGCAGAUAUCAGGAAGAACACCCGUGGCUAAGGCGGCUCACUACACAAUUAUUGACGCUGAGGCACGAAAGCGUGGGGAUCAAACAGG